CACGGGGGGAGCAAGCGUUGUUCGGAAUCACUGGGCGUAAAGGGCGUGUAGGCGGUCAAGUAAGUGGAAUGUGAAAGCCCCCGGCUCACCCGGGGAUCUGCAUCCCAAACUGCUUGGCUUGAGUACGGGAGAGGAUAGGGGAAUUCCUGGUGUAGCGGUGAAAUGCGUAGAUAUCAGGAGGAACACCGGUGGCGAAGGCGCCUAUCUGGCCCGAUACUGACGCUGAGGCGCGAAAGCUAGGGGAGCAAAUGGG
rnacentral:rRNA from 1 species